rnacentral:rRNA from 1 species
AUGGAGGGCGCGGCGGCGUUGAGAUCCCCUUCAGCUCCGAGCUCGAUGUCUUCUUCAAGCUCCCGCGCCACCUUGAGGAUUCAGAGCCCGACGCGCAUGGAGAUGUCGAUCUUCAUCUGUCUGUGGUGCCAAGCGGGCGUUGAUCGGAGGGUUUCUCACACACAGAAGAAGCAUAAUCGUCCGUUCUACGUGUGCGGCGAGAAUGGGGUGAAAUGUUUCUUUCUUUGGGUCGAUGCUCUGGCCAAAACUCUGAUGAAUGAACUUCAAGAAGAGCAUGAAGAAUGGUUGCCCAUGCUGCCACGAACGGUAGUGGCCGCAGCACGAGCUCCGGAAGAAGAGAUGGAGGGCGAAGCACGCAGUGACAGAGAGCUAGCUGUUGAGCUUAGGAUGUUGAAGAAGAAGGUUAGGAAGCUUGAAGAUCAAGCACAAAUACCCAUUUGCAAUUACUUUUGGGCAUUUAUAGGUAUGGUAAUCGCACUAGGUGUAAUGUUGAAAUUGUAUGGAAAGACAUGA